CCCUGUGGAAACGCAGGGAGAGCGUCUCGGAUCAUUGACAACUAAAUAGGAGCAGCAACGUCCAAUUAAAGGGCCCUGAUCACGAAACACAGUAAUAAAAUGAAUCUGGAGAGUUUGAUCCUGGCUCAGAACGAACGCUGGCGGCGUGCCUAACACAUGCAAGUCCAACGUGAAAGGGGAGCAAUCCCCCGGUAGGGUGGCAAACGGGUGAGUAAUACAUGGGUGAUCUACCUUAGGGAUGGGGAUAUCCUUCCGAAAGGAGGGGCAAUACCGAAUAUUGUCCGGAGCCGUGAAGGGUUCCGGGGAAAGGGAGGCCUCUGAUACAAGCUUUCGCCUUAAGAUGAGCCCAUGGCCCAUCAGCUAGUUGGUAGGGUAAAGCCUACCAAGGCUACGACGGGUCGCUGGUCUGAGAGGACGACCAGCCACACU
rnacentral:rRNA from 1 species